rnacentral:lncRNA from 1 species
GACUGGAAAAACACACACACUGAUUGCAUAGUUUGGUUUAUUAUACGUUAGUCAGACCUGUUGCUUAAGAAUAUUUAAUUUUCUGUAGGCCUCCAAGACCAGUUUUGGAGCUGGAGAAAUCAGAGGUGAUACCCCAGCAUCUGUGGAAUUUUUGAAACGGAGAAUCGUGACACCUGCCACCAGGAUUGCUCUGUCCAGCACUCCUGCAGAAUCUUUUUCCUGCUGAAUUUGAAAUUACUGUUAAAUAAGUACUUAUCUGCGAUCCUAAGAAAGCUGCCCAUCUCAGUCAGAGGAUAGGACUGUCCCUUGCAGCACUACCCCUACAAAACGUGGAAGACGGAGUUGACACAUUGAAGCCAGAACAGCUGAUCCCUGGCUCCAGGAAGUGCCUGUCACUUGUCUUAACAUUUUACAAGUGAAUUUAUACUCUUUGGACUCAUAUUAAAAUCUUACAGGUAAAUUGAUAUCCUCUGGCUUUUGCAGUUUUCUCAUUUAUACAUUUUCUUGUAUUUAAUUUGAAAGUACCUAAAUAUAGGCAUAGC